ACUAAAAUGGCAGAUAGAUGUGCAAGAUUUAGGAUCUUGUUAGGAGAAUUACUUCUUUUAGUA
rnacentral:tRNA from 1 species